GUCCCUGUAGCGUAAUGGAUAGCGUGUUGGACUUCUAAUCCAAAGGUCGUGAGUUUGAAUCCCACCUGGGAUG
rnacentral:tRNA from 1 species